GCCUCGAGAGCAAUGGGGAUGGUUGAUGAAUUUCUAUGCAAGGAUUUGUAGAGGAAAUGAGUAGUAACGAAAGUGACUUUGAUUCCUUUGUGUUGUAAGCGCUUGGAGAAUUGGAGCAUGGGAUUUAUAUGGCCUUGUCCUGGAUAGGUUAAGACCAAACAGUGAGCCAAUUUGCUGGAGGAAGCUUUCUUUUCAUUAUUCGCCAUUUAUUUUUUGCUCUCUCUCUCUCUCUCUCUAUCCCGUCGCUCAUGUAUUGAUUGAUAGGAAAGUUCAAGACAUAAUAUAUAGGGUCACCUUAUGAUACGUAACAUACACACUCACAGCAAUAAUAACAAAUCCUAUCAUUAAUAUUGUUACUGUAAAUGUGUGUAUGUUACACUCAAUCGUAACAUAGCAGUAGCAGGUGGCCUAAUAUAUAUCUUGCAUCAUAAAUUGUUUGAAGUCAUUGCAUACGUCUGCGAAUGUGACUUGACGCAUCUGCUCAUAAAUUAAAAAACUUGAGGUGGUGAUCCAUCAAAUCAUGUCACAUUCCAGUCGGGUAAACAACUUUGCGCUUUCUUCUCAUUUGCAUCAUACAUCAUAGGUCAUACGAAUUUUUUCUUAAAGCUCUUGGAGAAUUGGAGCAUGGGAUUUAGAUGGCCUUGUCCUGGAUAGGUUAAGACCAAACAGUGAGCCAAUUUGCUGGAGGAAGCUUUCUUUUCAUUAUUCGCCAUUUAUUUUUUGCUCUCUCUCUCUCUCUCUCUAUCCCGUCGCUCAUGUAUUGAUUGAUAGGAAAGUUCAAGACAUAAUAUAUAGGGUCACCUUAUGAUACGUAACAUACACACUCACAGCAAUAAUAACAAAUCCUAUCAUUAAUAUUGUUACUGUAAAUGUGUGUAUGUUAC
rnacentral:lncRNA from 1 species